rnacentral:rRNA from 1 species
AUGGAGCUGGAGGCCGCCCCGCAGCUCCCGAGGAGGGACGCCAGGAAGCUGGUGAGGUGCCCGAGGCUGCAGCUGGACGCCAAGACGGUCACGGCCGUCGAGCAGUCCACGGGCACGCCCGUCGCCGACGCGGCGGCCACCAGCCAUGGAGGCGCGACGCGCGUCAAGAUCUUGCUGAGCAAGCAGCAGCUCAAGCAGGUGGCCGCGGCCGUCGCCGCCGGCGGCGCCUUCGCGCUGCCGCCCGCGCUGGAGCAGCUGGUGAGCGCCAUCAAGAGGCAGCACGCGAAGAAGCAGACGGCGGCGGCGACCAACGCGGCUGCCGCGAGGCGCCCGGGACGGUGGUCGCCGGCGUUGUACAGCAUCCCGGAGGAUAUCCACAGCUAG